CUUGUCCCUAGAGGCCUCGCUGAUAUGGCUGCUGUGCCAAAUGUGCAUCAAUGGGUGGCAGAGAGAAGAGAGGCUGUGUCUACACUCAGUGUUCUGAGCUAUGAACAUCUGAAUGAUUAAUAACCUAACAUU